AUUGAACGCUGGCGGCAGGCCUAACACAUGCAAGUCGAACGAGUGCCGGACGGGUGAGUAAUGUCUGGGAACUGCCUGAUGGAGGGGGAUAACUACUGGAAACGGUAGCUCAUACCGCAUACUAUCGGAUAACCCAUAUGGGAUUAGCUAGUAGGUGAGGUAAUGGCUCACCUAGGCGACGAUCCCUAGCUGGUCUGAGAGGAUGAUCAGCCACACGGGGACGGAGACACGGCCCAGACUCCUACGGAGGCAGCAGUGGGGAAUAUUGCACAAGGGGCGCAAGCCUGAUGCAGCCAUGCCGCGUGUAUGAAGAAGGCCCUAGGGGUGUAAAGUACUUUCAGUCGGGAGGCGUUACCGACAGAAGAAGCACCGGCUAACUCCGUGCCAGCAGCCGCGGUAAUUC
rnacentral:rRNA from 1 species